AGCAGCCGCGGUAAUUCCAGCUCCAAUAGCGUAUAUUAAAGUUGUUGCAGUUAAAAAGCUCGUAGUUGAAUUUCGGGGUUAGUAGGUUGGUCAUGCCUCUGGUAUGUACUGGUCUCACUGAUUCCUCCUUCCUGAUGAACCUUAAUGCCAUUUAUUUGGUGUUUUGGGGAAUUUGGACUGUUACUUUGAAGAAAUUAGAGUGUUUAAAGCAAGCUAACGCUUGAAUACAUUAGCAUGGAAUAAUGAAAUAGGACGUUCGAUCCUAUUUUGUUGGUUUCUAGGAUUGACGUAAUGAUUAAUAGGGAUAGUUGGGGGCAUUAGUAUUCAAUUGUCAGAGGUGAAAUUCUUGGAUUUAUUGAAGACUAACUACUGCGAAAGCAUUUGCCAAGGAUGUUUUCAUUAAUCAAGAACGAAAGUUAGGGGAUCGAAGACGAUCAGAUACCGUCGUAGUCUUAACCAUAAACUAUGCCGACUAGGGAUCGGAUGAUGUUAAUUUUUAAUGACUCAUUCGGCGCC
rnacentral:rRNA from 1 species